rnacentral:rRNA from 1 species
GACGAACGCUGGCGGCGUGCCUAAUACAUGCAAGUAGAACGCAGUUGCGAACGGGUGUGUGAAGCGUAGGGAGCCUGCCUCAUAGCGGGGGGUAACUUAUGGAAACGAGUGGUUAUACCCCAUACUGUGAGAUGUACCUGAGUUGUAUUAGCUAGUUGGUGAGGUAAAGGGUCACCAAGGCGACGAUACAUAGCCGGCCCGAGAGGGUGAACGGCCACACUGGGACUGGGACACGGCCCAGACUCCUACGGGAAGCAGCAGUAGGGAAUCUUUGGCAAUGGACGGAAGGCUGGCCGAGCAACGCCGCGGUAGUGAAGAAGGUUUUCGGAGUGUAAAGCUCUGUUGUGAGAGAAGCGGUACCUAACCAGAAAGCGACGGCUAACUACGUGCCAGCAGCCGCGGUAAUAC